AGAGUUUGAUCCUGGCUCAGAGCGAACGCUGGCGGCAGGCUUAACACAUGCAAGUCGAGCGGGUGUAGCAAUACAUCAGCGGCAGACGGGUGAGUAACGCGUGGGAACGUACCUUUUGGUUCGGAACAACCCAGGGAAACUUGGGCUAAUACCGGAUAAGCCCUUACGGGGAAAGAUUUAUCGCCGAAAGAUCGGCCCGCGUCUGAUUAGCUAGUUGGUGAGGUAACGGCUCACCAAGGCGACGAUCAGUAGCUGGUCUGAGAGGAUGAUCAGCCACAUUGGGACUGAGACACGGCCCAAACUCCUACGGGAGGCAGCAGUGGGGAAUAUUGGACAAUGGGCGCAAGCCUGAUCCAGCCAUGCCGCGUGAGUGAUGAAGGCCCUAGGGUUGUAAAGCUCUUUUGUGCGGGAAGAUAAUGACGGUACCGCAAGAAUAAGCCCCGGCUAACUUCGUGCCAGCAGCCGCGGUAAUACGAAGGGGGCUAGCGUUGCUCGGAAUCACUGGGCGUAAAGGGUGCGUAGGCGGGUUUUUAAGUCAGGGGUGAAAUCCUGGAGCUCAACUCCAGAACUGCCUUUGAUACUGAAGAUCUUGAGUUCGGGAGA
rnacentral:rRNA from 1 species